AUGGUUAAGUGAAUAAGGGCGCACGGUGGAUGCCUUGGCACUAGGAGCCGAUGAAGGACGGGACUAACACCGAUAUGCUUCGGGGAGCUGUACGUAAGCUUUGAUCCGGAGAUUUCCGAAUGGGGGAACCCAAUUGCUUUGAUAGGCAAUUACUUAACUAUUAAUACAUAGUAGUUUGAGAGGAAGACGCAGGGAACUGAAACAUCUCAUUACCUGUAGGAAGAGAAAGAAAAAUCGAUUUCCUGAGUAGCGGCGAGCGAAACGGAAAGAGCCCAAACCAAAGAGCUUGCUCUUUGGGGUUGUAGGACAGACGAUAUGUAGUUAAAGAUUUAGUCGAAUGGCAUGGAAAGGCCAAUCACAGAGGGUGACAAUCCCGUAGAUGAAAGAUCAAUAACGCUAGUCUGUAUCCUGAGUACGGCGGAACACGUGUAAUUCCGUCGGAAUCCGGGAGGACCAUCUCCCAAGGCUAAAUACUCCCUAGUGACCGAUAGUGAACCAGUACCGUGAGGGAAAGGUGAAAAGCACCCCGGGAGGGGAGUGAAAUAGUACCUGAAACCGUGUGCUUACAAGCAGUCAGAGCCCGUUAAUGGGUGAUGGCGUACUUUUUGUAGAACGGACCGGCGAGUUACGAUUGCAUGCAAGGUUAAGUUGCAGAAACGGAGCCAUAGCGAAAGCGAGUCUGAAUGGGGCGUCGAGUAUGUAGUCGUAUACCCGAAACCAAGUGACCUACCCAUGUGCAGGGUGAAGGUGUGGUAAAACGCACUGGAGGCCCGAACCCACGUCUGUUGAAAAAGGCGGGGAUGACGUGUGGGUAGCGGAGAAAUUCCAAUCGAACUUGGAGAUAGCUGGUUCUCUCCGAAAUAGCUUUAGGGCUAGCCUCGGAUGAUGAAUAUUGGAGGUAGAGCACUGUUUGAUCUAGGGGUCCAUCUAGGAUUACCGAAAUCUGAUAAACUCCGAAUGCCAAAUAUUUUAAUCCGGGAGUCAAACUGCGAGUGAUAAGAUCCGUAGUUGAAAGGGAAACAGCCCAGACCACCAGCUAAGGUCCCAAAGUUUCAGUUAAGUGGAAAAGGAUGUGGGGUUGCUUAGACAACUAGGAUGUUGGCUUAGAAGCAGCCAUCAUUUAAAGAGUGCGUAAUAGCUCACUAGUCGAGUGACCCUGCGCCGAAAAUGUACCGGGGCUAAACUGAACACCGAAGCUGUGGAUAUCCGUAUGGAUAUGGUAGGAGAGCGUUCUAAGGGCAGAGAAGCAAGAUCGAGAGGACUUGUGGAGCGCUUAGAAGUGAGAAUGCCGGUAUGAGUAGCGAAAGACGGGUGAGAAUCCCGUCCACCGUAUGACUAAGGUUUCCUGGGGAAGGCUCGUCCUCCCAGGGUUAGUCGGGACCUAAGCCGAGACCGAAAGGUGUAGGCGAUGGAUAACAGGUUGAGAUUCCUGUACUUGUUUGUAUUGUUUGAGCAAAGGAAGGACGCAGGAGGCUAAGCAGAGCACGUUAUUGGAUUCGUGUUCAAGCAGUGAGUCUGACACAGAGUGAAAUGCUUCGUGUUAAAGAUGAGCUGUGAUGAGGAGGGAAAUAUAGUACCGAAGCUGCUGACGUCACACUGCCAAGAAAAGUUUCUAGUUAGAUGCAAACAACCCGUACCGCAAACCGACACAGGUAGUCGAGGAGAGCAUCCUAAGGUGAGCGAGCGAACUCUCGUUAAGGAACUCGGCAAAAUAACCCCGUAACUUAGGGAGAAGGGGUGCUGACCAAUGGUCAGCCGCAGUGAAUAGGCCCAAGCGACUGUUUAUCAAAAACACAGGUCUCUGCAAAAUCGAAAGAUGACGUAUAGGGGCUGACGCCUGCCCGGUGCUGGAAGGUUAAGAGGAGUGCUUAGCA
rnacentral:rRNA from 1 species